UUCUCAAUUUUCAGUUUAUUUAUUUAUUUAUUUUCGAAUUUUCAGUUUAUUUAUUUUCUGAAAAAUUUAUUUCCAAUUUAUUUAUUUUCCAGUUUAUUUAUGUAUUUAUUUAUUUAUUUUCUGAAUUUUCAGUUUAUUUAUUUAUUUAUUUAUUUUCUGAAUUUCAAGUUUAUUUAUUUAUUGAAUCGACACUUUUGUUUAAUGUUUUCUCAUUUAAAC
rnacentral:lncRNA from 1 species